rnacentral:pre_miRNA from 1 species
CUUGGCACUUGAGGAAUUCUCUGUUUGGUUGCAUGUAAUGUGCAUCUUUAUGGUAUCACAGAAUUCCCCAGUACCAAGGA